GCAAUCGUUAAAAGAGCGACAAGAAGAGGAAAGAUAUUUUGUGUUAUUAAUUUAUUUUCGAGUUGGAAAUUGUUCCGAGGAGAAAUGGAAGGAACGUUCCCGGCCAUUCAAAGAAUCUUUCAGAAAGAAAUCGAAAGAAUCGUGUCUAUUUGUUUUCCUGCCGUCGUCUUCGGUUCCGUCCGAACAGAAAAGAGGAGAAGAAACGACAAUAAAUAGCUGAAGAUUUCUCGGAUGACAUUUCUUUAUCUAUCGAAUGGCCCUAGAGUUUGGUUUGUGGAAUGUGCUAACAAGUAUUAAAAGUGCUUUACGUUUUUCUCUUGAAUGAAGUUUCCUGACUAAGUGUAGACAAACAUCUUGAACUCAGCUUUAAUUUUGUGGCGCCACAUUUCCAAGAAAGAAUCUAAAAUUAUUUAAUUUUAAAUAUUUCAUUUGUUUUAUAAAAUAAUGCAUGACGUCAUUCUCGUAUCUGAUUUCAUUCAAACCUUUAUUUUCAGAUUCACUAUCAUCCAAUAGAGAGAAGAGUAACAAACGUAGAACUGUUUCCAGGAAAAGGAUGAGUCGAGGAAUGCGUUUAAGUUCUGUUUACAGAAGACUCAAUUGAAGGCAGUGAUAAGAAAUUAUACGAGAAUAUGAAAAAAGGAAGAAUAUAUGUCAAGCAAAUGAAGAGAAACAGAAAUGAAAUGAAGAACAUAUUUUAAAUAAUUUCCAAAUAUGUUAUAUUUUAAAAUGCUCUUCAUAUAAGUUGUUUUGAGAUAAAUGUAUAAAUUACAUUAAUUUGUGAUAGUAUGUGUAUACUACUUGAAAAUAUUUGCAAAUACUGGUGUAAGCAGUUUACGUAUGAUUUAUUGUUUCAUUUGGGGUGGUCUAGUUAGUUGUAAGGUAUCAAUUUUCGUUUAAAAAGUCUUGCUAGAAAAAAAAUUAUUUUUCUAUCUGCACACACACUCUAACAAUACUUUAAAAUCAGCGAUUAAUAUUAGAUAUUUGCAUAUUCGAUUAGCAAUGAAGUGAAG